GUUGACUGUCUGACAAACCAGUAAAAAGUGCAUUUGUGGCUAGCGGCCUUUCAAACUUUGUGGUUAAAUUGAAACCACGCCAUUUUGCAGUACAGACGUGUUUCCUUUUGAAAAAUUAGAAAUAUGUCGGGCGAGGAAACUUCGGCCGAUCGUAAUGUGGAGAUCUGGAAAAUCAAGAAACUAAUUAAAAGCUUAGAGCUGGCCAGAGGGAAUGGAACGAGUAUGAUAUCUCUUAUUAUUCCACCAAAAGAUCAGAUUUCUAGGGUUAGCAAAAUGUUAGCUGAUGAAUUUGGUACUGCCUCAAAUAUAAAAUCUCGCGUAAAUAGAUUAUCGGUUUUGGGAGCGAUUACUUCUGUACAACAUAGGCUGAAGCUUUAUACAAAAGUGCCCCCAAAUGGGUUAGUAAUUUAUUGUGGAACAAUUGUCACAGAUGAAGGCAAGGAGAAGAAAGUUAACAUUGAUUUUGAACCUUUUAAACCAAUUAAUACUUCUUUGUAUUUAUGUGACAAUAAAUUUCAUACAGAAGCUCUAACAGCAUUGCUUGCUGAUGACAAUAAAUUUGGUUUUAUUGUCAUGGAUGGUAAUGGUGCCUUGUUUGGUACUUUGCAAGGUAAUACUAGGGAGGUGCUUCAUAAAUUUACAGUAGAUUUACCAAAAAAGCAUGGCAGAGGUGGUCAGUCUGCACUUCGUUUUGCUCGUUUAAGAAUGGAGAAACGGCACAACUAUGUUAGAAAGGUUGCUGAAGUAGCCACUCAGCUUUUUAUCACAAAUGACAAGCCAAAUAUUGCUGGACUAAUAUUGGCUGGUAGUGCUGAUUUUAAAACUGAACUUAGUCAGUCAGAUAUGUUUGAUCCUAGACUGCAAGCAAAAGUAAUAAAAUUGGUUGAUGUAUCUUAUGGUGGAGAAAAUGGUUUUAAUCAAGCUAUAGAACUUGCUGCCGAAUCCCUACAAAAUGUGAAAUUUAUCCAAGAAAAGAAGUUGAUUGGCAGGUACUUUGAUGAAAUCAGCCAGGACACAGGGAAAUAUUGCUUUGGUGUUGAGGAUACACUAAGGGGGUUGGAACUAGGAGCAGUGGAGACUUUAAUUUGUUGGGAAAAUUUGGACAUACAACGAUAUGUUUUAAAAAAUCAUACAACGGGAACAGAAACUGUUUUGCAUUUAACCCCUGAACAAGAAAAGGACAAGUCACACUUCACAGAUAAAGAGAGUGGGGUGGAAUUAGAAUUAGUAGAGUGUCAACCACUUCUUGAAUGGCUAGCAAAUAAUUAUAAAAAUUUUGGUGCAACUCUUGAAAUUAUCACCGACAAAUCUCAGGAAGGUUCUCAAUUUGUAAGGGGCUUUGGCGGAAUUGGUGGAAUUCUGCGAUACAAAGUGGACUUUCAGUCUCUGCAAGCUGAUGAGCCACUGGAUGAUGUAGAUCUAGAUGACUACUAAUUGUAUCUAGAGUUCUAUGCUGUCCUGCGACUCAACGAUCCUAACAAUAUACACUCAUCAAGGUUUGCUGAGAUACAAAGUGGACUUCCAGAGCCUGCAACUAGAAGAAUUAGACUCUGUGGACUUUGACCUAGAUGAUUAUUGAAAUUUUUAGUAUGAUUUGAAAUGAAGCAAAAUAUGAGCAGUUGUGUGAAGGGUGCUGUUUCAUUAAUCACUAUAUGUGCAUUCAUUCUUUGCUCAAGUUGCCCAAUCAGGAUGACAACUACCGCCUAAUGUAUAUUUAAAUAAUAUAUUCGAUUUUUUUUUAUUUAAUUUUUAAUCCAGAAAAUUGUUCUAUAGCAUAAUUCAGUUGUAUAUUUUUUUAAUGUAAAGCUCAUAUGCAUUGUGCACAAUCGGUUCUACUACACUUGUCGAUUGAGAUUAUAUUUUAGCGGCACCAAAGAUCCAUGCAGUAAAGAAUUGCAUUUUAUAGCAAUUGGUAAUAUGUCUACACAUAUUUCAAUUUAAUAAAUAUUUUUUAUUUUUUGUGAAAAAUUAAAACCAGGUAGGACAAAGUUCAUAUAUACUGCUCAAUAAAAUUUUGUGUAGUUUCUAUAGUCUAACAAAAAUUUGCAAUUUUUUUAUUAUAAUUGUUUCAAAGAUUAGUUGCCGUUUUUCUGUACUAUUGAGCAAAAAAUUCACAUUCUUAGGUCAAAUCUCUUUUGGUACCAUCACUGUCUGAAGAAAACUAAUUAACUGUCUUGCCUGUGUAGCGGUCUAGAAUUCGCUCCGUUCAGUGUCAUGUAAAGCUGCAGUGAUGGCACAAAGAUCCCAAGAUCUUCAAUUUGUAAUUUUUUAAGCGAAGCAGGUAACAUGCAUUCCAAAUUUAUAUUGAUAUUAUUUUGGACAACAAAAGUCUAUGUCAUAUUUAAGAGUCUAAUACUCUAAACAUAAAGUGGCAAGUGGCUAUUCUGGAUAUGCAACACAUUGUAAGCUCAUCCACCAUGCCCGGAAUUGCAUGCAUAUACUAAAUUUAAUAUAAGUAAUUUUUUAUCGUCUGUAAUUUUUGCCAAAAAAAAACAUAGGAUCCAUUGUGUGUACUGCAAAAACAAACAUUCAUUUGAUAA